rnacentral:rRNA from 1 species
GACGAACGCUGGCGGCGUGCCUAAUACAUGCAAGUAGAACGCUGAAGGAGGAGCUUGCUUCUCUGGAUGAGUUGCGAACGGGUGAGUAACGCGUAGGUAACCUGCCUGGUAGCGGGGGAUAACUAUUGGAAACGAUAGCUAAUACCGCAUAAGAGUAGAUGUUGCAUGACAUUUGCUUAAAAGGUGCAAUUGCAUCACUACCAGAUGGACCUGCGUUGUAUUAGCUAGUUGGUGGGGUAACGGCUCACCAAGGCGACGAUACAUAGCCGACCUGAGAGGGUGAUCGGCCACACUGGGACUGGGACACGGCCCAGACUCCUACGGGAGGCAGCAGUAGGGAAUCUUCGGCAAUGGACGGAAGUCUGACCGAGCAACGCCGCGGGAGUGAAGAAGGUUUUCGGAUCGUAAAGCUCUGUUGUAAGAGAAGAACGAGUGUGAGAGUGGAAAGUUCACACUGUGACGGUAUCUUACCAGAAAGGGACGGCUAACUACGUG